rnacentral:rRNA from 1 species
UGCGCAGGGGCGGCCUACACAUGCAAGUCGAGCGGUAACAGGGGAAGCUUGCUUCCCGCUGACGAGCGGCGGACGGGUGAGUAAUGUAUGGGGAUCUGCCCGAUAGAGGGGGAUAACCACUGGAAACGGUGGCUAAUACCGCAUAAUCUCUCAGGAGCAAAGCAGGGGAACUUCGGUCCUUGCGCUAUCGGAUGAACCCAUAUGGGAUUAGCUAGUAGGUGGGGUAAUGGCUCACCUAGGCGACGAUCCCUAGCUGGUCUGAGAGGAUGAUCAGCCACACUGGGACUGAGACACGGCCCAGACUCCUACGGGAGGCAGCAGUGGGGAAUAUUGCACAAUGGGCGCAAGCCUGAUGCAGCCAUGCCGCGUGUAUGAAGAAGGCCCUAGGGUUGUAAAGUACUUUCAGUCGGGAGGAAGGCGUUGAUGCUAAUAUCAUCAACGAUUGACGUUACCGACAGAAGAAGCACCGGGUAACUCCGUGCCAGCACCCGCGGUAAUACGGAGGGUGCAAGCGUUAAUCGGAAUUACUGGGCGUAAGGCGCACGCAGGCGGUUGAUUAAGUUAGAUGUGAAAUCACCGGGCUUAACUUGGGAAAGUCAUCUAAGA